UUGCCGUGAUCGAUGUGGGCGAUGAUGCAGAAAUUCCGAAUCUGCGCGGCCGGAGUGGACGCGGGCUGGAUCUUGGCCAGCUCGGCAGA
rnacentral:tRNA from 1 species